GGAGAUUUCACAUCUUAGAUCCAAAAGAUAAAGGGGUUCUUAUGUCAUGAUGUGCAUUUCAUUAUGCUCUAGAUAGACUCCAUGCAUGGGAGAGGGAGAUUGGGAAUCACAACAGCAAAGCAAUUGUAAAUAAGACAAUUAUCUUUAAAAUCCAACUAAACUCAACUAUAUUACACUUCAUUAGCUUUCAGAUUAAAAGUGGUGGUUUGGAGCUGGAGAAGUUAGAGUUGAUUAAUAUUGUAUGUGAACCCUUUUCAACCCUUUUUCAUGAGUUUUCUAGGAACGACCUGCCGGCUCAGGGUGAUAUCAUGUUAAGUAGGCCCACAUUGUAACAGGCACUUCUAUAAGUUUUUAAGUUAGUUUUUAUUCUUAGCAAAUCAAAUAAACUUUGCAUUUGCUUGUCCCCCGCCGAGCUUCAUGGAAGUUUCGAUUAGAUAUGCUUAAUUGUUCUUUUAUGUGAUUUUACCAUCAAAUUCUUGAUACUCGUUACUUCCAUUAUGCUAGAUGAUGGAAUUACUUGUCCAGAUUACCGAUGCAUGGUAUGCAUUGGCUAAUUAGGCAUCAUGGUUUGCAAUGACCACCCCCCCCAUCCCCCCCAACCACCACCACCCCUGAAGCCCUUAUUAAUAUGGUUCAAUGAAGGAUUAAACACAUGCCAAGGCAACCAUGACCCAUGUCAUGCGUAUAUUUUUUUGCCAGUUAUGUGGUUCCUCUGUGAAGCAAUACACAGAAGCCUUACUCAUUUUUUAUAUUAUUUCUGUGUUUAAUUCAACCUGGUAGUGGUGGGUAUAUCUCAAAAGUACUCUGCAGAUAGCUGUACAUCUAGUGCUGAGGUAUGUUUCCUAAUAUUAUUUUUACAGGAAAUUGGAAGGCCAGUUCUCAG
rnacentral:misc_RNA from 1 species